CGCCAUGGAAACCCAGGGUGAUAAAAAGUGAGCCGCAUAUCUUAGCGAUGCGGAGUUAGAGGUUAUUAUGAAUGUUUAUGAGGAAUAUAACAAAACAAAACAAAAAAAAAGGAACUGCUGCAUCGGACCGAGAGUUGGUUUGGAAAAAAGUAACAGAUCAAGUAAAUGCUCGUUACGACAUGGCGAAAUCAGCGCUGCAGUUCACAACGUGUAGUGCCUCCCAGGGACAUGGCGGAAGAGGACUACACUUCCCAGCCACACCCGCACUCGAGUUCGCUGGAGUUCUGAUUACGAACACCUGCAGACAUCUAAAGUUAUAUAAGGGCCUCGUUAGCAUCAGCCGCUUGCGAAGUAACCGCUCAGCAGCCUCGUCUCUGUUGGUUAACCAAGCCUGAUUAUUAUUGGAAGUGUCUUCCCGGUUCUCGAUUUCCACUUGUCUUUUGACUACACUUUUGCCUACGCCCCUGUCAACCUGUUUUACCUGCAUAAUCCCGACUCUCAUCUCGUUCCGUGUUCCACCUGGUGUCCGUCACACGUCAUCUCCUCGCCUGCCCACGUUUGUCUCCGUCAGCGUCACGUAACAAUGCUUGCUUAUGGACACAUUGUAUUAAUUGACCCUCCUGCAACAGCAGAUCCUACCACAGAUGAAAAUGAUUAUUGUCUUCAGCUGCCUGCAAAGAAGCUGUACAAGGUACAUCUUCAAAUGCAAAUGAUAAAAAUUGGCAUGGAGAUGGAACUUCUGCAACUUUAAAUGGAGGGAAAAAGGCUAACAUAAAAAGGACACUAUUCAAAAGUGCACUCCAUGCUCCGUCAGCUCUCUGAAACAAACUAACCUGGAACAUAACCUGCUUCAGAUAGUAAGUUGCUGUGGCUACUUGCAUACCCUGAAAAUUUCCUCCAUUUUUUGGAACAGACAUUUGAGGUUAUUUGUUUACUCUGAGUAAACUUACCUAGCCCCACACAAAUUUAUGGAGAUACUAGAGAUCCAGAUCCUUUCUGCCUCUGGAUGGAGCUCAAAUCUUCUCUAAUUCCAGACUGCUGGAACUACGGCUGGCCAUACAGACUUCAUAUAAAUCCAUAAUGAAC
ensembl:lncRNA